UACGUAGGGGGCAAGCGUUGUCCGGAAUCAUUGGGCGUAAAGAGCGUGUAGGCGGCCAAGCAGGUCCGCUGUGAAAACUCGAGGCUCAACCUCGAGACGUCGGUGGAAACCGUUUGGCUAGAGUCCGGAAGAGGAGAGUGGAAUUCCUGGUGUAGCGGUGAAAUGCGCAGAUAUCGGGAAGAACACCCGUGGCGAAGGCGGGUCUCUGGGCAGUAACUGACGCUGAGGAGCGAAAGCGUGGGGAGCGAACAGG
rnacentral:rRNA from 1 species